rnacentral:rRNA from 1 species
UACAGAGGUCUCAAGCGUUGUUCGGAUUCAUUGGGCGUAAAGGGUGCGUAGGCGGCGCGGUAAGUCGGGUGUGAAAUCUCGGAGCUUAACUCCGAAACUGCAUUCGAUACUGCCGUGCUUGAGGACUGGAGAGGAGACUGGAAUUUACGGUGUAGCGGUGGAAUGCGCAGAUAUCGGGAGGAACACCCGUGGCGAAGGCGGGUCCCUGGGACGGUACUGACGCUGAGACGCGAAAGCGUGGGGAGCGAACAGG